rnacentral:siRNA from 1 species
GGUGGUGAUCUCUGUCUUCGUUGC